CCCCUCUCAAGGUCACAUCUGGAGAGUUUCCAGUACUCUACCGGUCUCGGCUAUGGGAGGGAGAGUCAAGCAGAGGCAUUUCCAUUCUUAGCUUGCGCAGUGGCUAGUGAGUGGAAGACAAUCUGCUACAAGU